rnacentral:lncRNA from 1 species
UGACAAAGGCCCUAGACCACAGCAACCACCCCACCAGGGCUCUGAGUUCUCCAUGAGGACUGGUUUCCCUGGAAGGUGAACACUCAGGGGCUGGGACCCUUAAGGAUUGUUCUUCUCAGGUCUUCACCGUUUCCAGACGUGUGCCUUAGACAUCUGCACGGACAUCUCUUCCCAGGGAUGGGCGUCUCAGGGCAGGUGCAUUUAAACUUGUGAUAGAGACUCCAAAUCACCUCUCAAAAGCCUGUUCCCAUUCACACCCCUGCAUACGGCAUGUCAGUGGAUCCCUUCCUCACUGGAGCAACACUAGAUUUAGUCAUAAAAUAUUUUUCAAUUUCUUAUUUCUAUGAUUAAUAGGGAGGUUGGAUAUUUUGUGAUAUUCAUUAGUUUAUUUGACUAUGUUUCUGUUUUUACCCUUUACCACUUUUCUAGCUAGUCAUUUGCUUUUUUCUUGUUGAUUUGUGGGAGUUCUUUAUAUAUGAUGAAUAUCAGUACUUUGUGUUUACAUUGCAGAUAUUCGUUCCCAGUCUGCUGCUUAUUAUUUUACCUUUUUAAGGUUGUUCUUUUCAUCACAUAAAAGUUUUUAAAUUUUAAGUAGUCAAAUGGUUUCCUUUAAGGCUUUGGAUUUUGCAUUUUUAUACCAAAAUGCUCUUGUAUUUUCUUCCAAACUUUAUAAUUAUUCUUUUUUUUUUUUUUUUUUUUUGCCUUUAAGUUCAUUUUGGGGCAUGGGGUGAGACAGAAUAGCACCAUUUUUCCACAUUAAAUCUUAGAUAUUGUGAGCCCUGGAGGACACAAAUUACAGCUUAGAGGCCUGGAGCAUGAUUCUGGAGCCAGGCUUCCUGGGCCGGAGUCCACGUCCUGCCCAUGGUGGCUGGCCAUUGCUUUGGGGAGCCUCUCUGAGCCUCAGUGUCCUCUUUGAAAGAGUGGUUGUUCAGAGUAAGAGGGUAUCUUCCUGUGGACGACUCAGCUUGCGUCUCAGCCCACAGUGAGCGAAGAACCAGGGGGUCUCACAGAGCCCUGACUCAGGUGCUGAGGGUCCCCCUAACCUCCAGGCAAUUCGGCCUGCACCCCCACCCCCGCUUCUUCUUGCCUCUUCUAGAAGAGAGGAGGGUGGCGGUAAGGCUGGAAGGGGGAAGAAAAUCUGUUUCCCAAAGCCUCCAGGUGAUUCAGCCAGAGUGAGACCAAAUGGCUUGGGUCUUGGGUUUUCAGCUUCCUCACCUGUGCGGUGCAGGUGACAGCACCCCACUUCCUACUCUGUGGGCAGGUAACACCUGCGUGCUCUGAGAAGGGGAAAACAUCUCCACCCUCCCCAGAGGCCUGCACGGCCGGAGGUCACAGUGAGGCGGCCACACGCCCCGGGCUCUUGCUCCGAGGGGACGCUGUCCCAACAAGAGGCCCCCUCACAGUCUGUCCUGACCCUGGCUCUGUGGCCCCUCCUUCUCCUUGAUCAGGCCCCUCCCGGGUCUACCGGGAUCUCUGGCUGCCCCCCGACCCCCUGCUGCAGCCCCAACCCUAGGUCUCCACAAAGACUUCGGGAUGCCCCGUGAGCCCCUGGGUCCUGGACCCCUCUUCCUCCUCCAGCCCCUCCUCUCCCAGCUGCUCCUGGCUGCCCUUUAAUUGCUCAGAGCUGUUCAGCAACCUGGCGCGUAGCUGGUACAUAAGUGGCUGUUGGUUGGAGUCAAGUGAGUGAUGGGGAGAUGCUAAGAAGAGUGAAAGAAGCCUCGGCACCCGCCGGGAGCAGGUGCUGGGGGUGUGAGUGCCGCUGAAUGAACGCGUCCUGGGACGGGAUCCUGAAGCCCACCCUCCCGCCGGGCCCCCACAACCCAGAGCGCACACCAAACUUUCUACGUGUCUUUCCCGGUCAGCCUGAGCCCAAACCACCCAUGUCCCUGAGCUUGUCCUUGUCUGAAAGAGGAGGGAAGUGUCUGUGUCCUCAGGAGCCCCUGGCCUUAAAGAUAGGCACCCUGGCUCUGGCAGGCAGGUGGCCCCUGGCAGCCUCGCCCACGCCCGCGGUGACUAGCUCUCGGGCAAGCGAUGCAAGUGCAGAAACCAGCUCUGUGUGGUCAGUGCCCCGGAGCUGCAGCGGCAGCAGAGGUCGGAACACCUUCCUCUGUGGGCACGCCACGGAAAUUUAAAGACACAGGGUGCUCUUUCGCAAACUGGGCUCGUUGAUUCUACAGGAGAAGGUAACUAUUAUUGAGUUUCUUCUUUUUCAGAAUGAGUGGCAUCCAAACCUGACUCAUAUUUCCAACUUUAUUAAUUUUUGCAAGACUUCGGAGGGUGCUCUGUGGCGAUUAAUAUUGCUGAGCUGAGCACAGCUGCAGUACUUUCCUGUAAAACUGACUAAAGGAGAAGUUGGUGUCUUCCUCAUACAAGAAAUACAUAAAUCAGUUAAAAAUAGUUCUCCGAGCGGAUAUGAUGAUGUCGUGGCCGUCACAGGAAACACAUGAAUCAGCCUCAUCCUCAGUUCCAGGGAAGUGGGGACAGUCGGUGGUCCUUGGACCCCUCUUGGGGCGCGUGGGUGAGGCAGGGUCCCUCUGGCUUUACCUCAUACCCGGACUGGCAAAGCUGCCUGGGAGGACAACUAAAACCAUGCUCCUUUGAUUCUGUGGACAUUGCUAAUUGCUGGGCGUUCAUUUCUUGAAUUCAGACCUUCUCAUGAACCAGAGGAGCUGGCUCAGAAAAAUGCCGGUGACGCAUGGGCCUGAACUGGUCAGUGCAGCUCAGAGAUGCUCGCCGUGGGGGACGUGCAGUUUGCCUGUGGGCCAGUUGUCCACCCGUCACCGUUACCCCGCUGAGGAAGCUGUGGGUGCCACCCAGAGAGCUUGGGUACAACACGGUCUCUGCUUUACUCAUAAAAAGCCAAGACCUAUGUGGUCAUGGAGCGUUAAAACAGAAAUUUCACACCACGCCGUACGGUCCCCGAGGCCAGGGUGUUGGCACAUUUCACAUCCAGGAGGUGCCGUCGCUGUCACUGGCUCAGCAAAGCCAGUGCCGAAGCCACUGCAACUGCCUGAGGCCCAGCGGUGGCUGGGAGCCAAUUGGUGUCACUCGGUUACCACAGGGAAGGAGACGUGGCUGUAGAGGCUUGUCGCAGGUCACAGAGAAGGGACUUUUGGGCUCCAGGCCUAGUGGGUUCGAGUCAGCACGGUGUCUUCCCCGACACCAAACCCAAGGACCCUCAGCACUUCCUGACCUCAGGUUUCUAUUUCUAGGGUGGGGAGUAGAGGUGAAGGGAAGCAAAGUCAGAGUUGAAUAUAAAGCUCCAGAAAAACUCAGCUCAGAAUUGACUAGAGGGUUGAGAGCCUGAGAUCCCUAAGGGGACAUGUCAACCCAGGGCAGCCGCUGAGGGAGACUGACAUGGUUUCCAUGGUCCUUCCACUGGGCUGGGGCCCUCCCUGGGGAGUCUGUGCUGGGCUGGACCUUCUUCCCUGCCAGUGGCCUCUCCUGGCUGGUUGGGGAGCUCCGGGGGAGCAGACGGCAAGAGUCUUGUUUGGAAACAUGCCCUUCCCAGGAAAUCCCCAAAACAAAACCUGAGAAGAUCUCCUGGAAGCUCAAAAGCAAUUUUCUUUUCAUAUGUCGGGCCAAUAAGAGUUAAUUUCACCCAGU